rnacentral:rRNA from 1 species
UAGGCAGGUACAGAGGGAUGCUACCGGGCGACCGGAUGCGGAUCUCGAAAGCCUGUCCCAGUUCGGACUGGAGUCUGCAACCCGACUCCACGAAGUUGGAUUCGCUAGUAAUCGCGCAUCAGCCACGGCGCGGUGAAUACGUUCCCGGGCCUUGUACACACCGCCCGUCAAGCCAUGGAAGCCGGGGGUGCCUGAAGUGCGCUGCCGCAAGGAGCGCCCUAGGGUAAAACCGGUGACUGGGGCUAAGUCGUAACAAGGUAUC